rnacentral:rRNA from 1 species
ACGGCUGCUCAGUAACACGUAGUCAACCUAACCUAUGGACGGGAAUAACCUCGGGAAACUGAGAAUAAUGCCCGAUAGAACACUAUACCUGGAAUGGUUUGUGUUCCAAAUGAUUUAUCGCCGUAGGAUGGGACUGCGGCCUAUCAGUUUGUUGGUGAGGUAAUGGCCCACCAAGACUAUUACAGGUACGGGCUCUGAGAGGAGUAGCCCGGAGAUGGGUACUGAGACACGGACCCAGGCCCUAUGGGGCGCAGCAGGCGAGAAAACUUUGCAAUGUGCGAAAGCACGACAAGGUUAAUCCGAGUGGUUUCUGCUAAAGGAACCUUUUGUUAGUCCUAGAAACACUAACGAAUAAGGGGUGGGCAAGUUCUGGUGUCAGCCGCCGCGGUAAAACCAGCACCUCAAGUGGUCAGGAUGAUUAUUGGGCCUAAAGCAUCCGUAGCCGGCUCUGUAAGUUUUCGGUUAAAUCUGUACGCUCAACGUACAGGCUGCCGGGGAUACUGCAGAGCUAGGGAGUGGGAGAGGUAGACGGUACUCGGGAGGAAGUGGUAAAAUGCUUUGAUCUCUCGAUGACCACCUGUGGCGAAGGCGGUCUACCAGAACACGUCCGACGGUGAGGGAUGAAAGCUGGGGGAGCAAACCGGAUUAGAUACCCGGGUAGUCCCAGCUGUAAACUAUGCAAACUCAGUGAUGCAUUGGCUUGUGGCCAAUGCAGUAUUGCAAGGAAGCCGUUAAGUUUGCCGCCUGGGAAGUACGUACGCAAGUAUGAAACUUAAAGGAAUUGGCGGGGGAGCAG